AGGGGCAAAAGUGAGGGGCAUAGGCUGGCAGAGUCUCUAGACAGGCUCCUUCAGUCCUGCCGCUGCUUUGUGUUGGGAGAGACAGAGAAGAAGAAAACAAGAGAAUGAGAGAGACAGACUCGGACAGACUCACACCCAGGAAGAGCUGAAGAAGAGGGCAUCGAACUGACAAACCGAGUAAUUCCUCCCUUCUUCACUCUGGAAGAAGCCAAGAAUAGAGCUUGUUCAUCCCAAGAGACAGCAUGGGGUUCUCUGGCUCCCAAGGACCACUGAGGACAAGAUGGAAAAACAUAGCCACUGAACCUCUAGAGAAAAAGGGAUAGCUCACUCUGGCAACCAGGGAGUUCCUCUGCUGCCAUUCUCCCCAUACCAAGCUGUCUCCUCAGCAUGAGCAGGCGAGAAGGAAGAUAGCUAUUUAAAAUGAAAGACAGGUCAGGAAGAGGGAGUGGGCACAGAUGGGCAAUGCUGAGCAGAUGGACAAGAGGGAGAUAUAAAGGAAGAAGAAUGAAGGGUACAUAUGAGAAGGGAGAAGAGAGGGAAGGCAAAGAAGAAAUAAGUAAUGGAGGAGAAGGAAGAAAGUCAGGGAUAGAGGCAUGCUUUUUUUGUUUGCCAAGAUGGAUAAAGAAGGAUGGGAUGUUCAUGCAGAGGACUUGCAUCUAUUGAUCCCGCCCAGUCAAGGCCAGAUAGUGGGAAGGGCAGAACUACAGAGAGAGGGCAGGAACAGAUCCUUCUGUGGAUCAACCAAGCUACGGGAGACAGGGAACUCAUCCUGCAGGACCUACCUAAAUACUGGAUAUUUCUGCCAAACCAGGAAUUUAUCAAAGGCAAUGGAGAAAAGCUUCCAAAUGAACACAAAAGGAGGCUAGAAUGACAGGAGGCUGCAGAAUCGGAUUCCAGGAGCUCCAGCAGGGAGAUGGGUGAGGAAUGGGAUUUUUUAGCAGCACCCAGCUGGCUCUUUAAAGAGUGUCAUCUGAUGCUCUGAGGGGAAAUACAUCCUUUAAGGGACUGAUUUGAGGAUUUAAGGAAUAAGAAACAGUAAAAAGGCUUUAUUUUAGAAAGUAUCCCUCUAGUAGGAGGCUAGAUCUAGGAAGCUUUGGGGCUUAAAGCCUUGGGAGGGGCUAACUAAAGAGGGCAAGAAGGCCUGCCAUCAGAGACAGAUUACUUAAGAUUUGAUUGAAAGAAACUGAGGAGGGUGUAAAGCCAGAUGAAGGUUUUCUGGUGUUAACUGCCAUAGAGCUGAAUGCAGUGGCAGAGGAGGGUCACUGUAGCUAAGAGACAGGGUUUUCUAGGCUAGGAAUUCUGAUUUGAUCUCUUUACCACCUAGGGCUUCCUGUAAGAGCCAGCAGUAAGUACAUCAAAAUUGGGAGAGAGGAAGUAGAAACUCAAGGACUCUAUAUUCUCCAGAGCCCACCCGUCGGGCUAAACCCAAGACUGGUAGAUGAAACAAAGCAGUUCUCAGUGGGGUGUCAAGACCUCAGGACUCAGUGACUACUGCCACCUAUUGACCCAAAUUUGUUCAAGAUAGACCUUUAAUACACUUCUUACACAGUGACGCUCUGUUAUUUCAAAAGCAUCAAUAGCUUAAACAUGCAAAGGCAUGGCUCUUGGGGCUUCUCUGAGACCCUCUGAACAAUGAGAUCAAAGAAAUACAAAAGCAAGACUGGGCAGAGAGCCAAAGCAAUGAUGCCUUUCUCUUUGCAAAGGCAGAAAAAGAGGCCCAAGCAAUGAAAAAGGAAAUUUAUGCCUCCUCUAGGGUCUGCAAGCAAAGAGAAAAGGGGAUAAAAAUUUUUCCCAAGCACUGGUAAAAAUCUUGUGCAUCACAAUGAGUGAAGCAUUUCCAAAACAGUAGAAGGCAGAUUUCAUUAAUAUGCCUUCAAAAAGUUGGCCAAAUACUUGGGUUGCACUGGUAUUUACAGAGCUAGCUGAUAGCAGGGAAGAUGAGGGACACUGAAGACUGUGCCAAUUCUCAAUCUGUACCAAUCAGGACUGAGAAAGAAACUAGGUUCCAAGGACAGAUUUAUACCAUGAAGUUCUAUUGGGAUGUUUAGUAUGUGUCUUCCACAAACCCAAGAUAAGAAAUGAGAUGUGAGAUUGAACUCUCCGUGGUGCUGAAAAACUGAUUAACUGCAAUCAGGUCAUCAAGGUAUUCAUGAAGAUUCUUGUGAACUUCUGACAGACAUUCCCCCAGCCCUCAUAACAUCCUACAAAACAAAGUUUUUGAGGCAAAAACAGGCCUUUGUCAAUCUUCUUUGCCCACUGCCUAAGAGGAAAAACCAAGACAGAGAUGCUAAAUUACUUGCUUAGAACAAAGCCAUGACUCUCACCAUCAUGUGGUAACAAUAAACAGGUGCUCAUGUGCACUAAUGACAUUACAGUGAA